rnacentral:rRNA from 1 species
AAUGAACGUUGGCGGCGUGGAUUAGGCAUGCAAGUCGUGCGGAAAGGUCCUAGCUUGCUAGGACACUCGAGCGGCGAAAGGGAGAGUAACGCGUGGAUACCUGCCUCUGGAUCCGGGAUAGCCUCGAGAAAUCGGGGGUAAUACCGGAUGAUGUCUCCGGACCAAAGGUGUGAUUCCGUCCAGAGAUGGGUCCGCGUCCUAUUAGCUUGUUGGUGGGGUAAUGGCCUACCAAGGCUGAGAUGGGUACCGGUGUGAGAGCAUGGCCCGGCUCACUGGGACUGAGACACUGCCCAGACACCUACGGGUGGCUGCAGUCGAGAAUCUUCGGCAAUGGGCGAAAGCCUGACCGAGCGACGCCGCGUGCGGGAUGAAGGCCUUCGGGUUGUAAACCGCUGUCAGAGGGAGGAAAUGUCAUGUGGCUAUCCUCAUGAUUUGACCGAUCCUCAGAGGAAGUACGGGCUAAGUCCGUGCCAGCCGCC